rnacentral:rRNA from 1 species
UACGUAGGUGGCAAGCGUUGUCCGGAUUUACUGGGCGUAAAGGGCUUGUAGGCGGUUUGUUAAGUCUGGUGUGAAAUCUCCCGGCUCAACCGGGAGGGGUCAUUGGAUACUGGCAGACUAGAGACGGGUAGAGGAAAGCAGAAUUCCCGGUGUAGCGGUGAAAUGCGUAGAUAUCGGGAGGAAUACCAGUGGCGAAGGCGGCUUUCUGGGCCUGUUCUGACGCUGAGGAGCGAAAGCGUGGGGAGCAAACCGG